rnacentral:rRNA from 1 species
GAUGAACGCUGGCGGCGUGCCUAAUACAUGCAAGUCGAGCGAACAGACGAGGAGCUUGCUCCUCUGACGUUAGCGGCGGACGGGUGAGUAACACGUGGAUAACCUACCUAUAAGACUGGGAUAACUUCGGGAAACCGGAGCUAAUACCGGAUAAUAUAUUGAACCGCAUGGUUCAAUAGUGAAAGACGGUUUUGCUGUCACUUAUAGAUGGAUCCGCGCCGCAUUAGCUAGUUGGUAAGGUAACGGCUUACCAAGGCAACGAUGCGUAGCCGACCUGAGAGGGUGAUCGGCCACACUGGAACUGAGACACGGUCCAGACUCCUACGGGAGGCAGCAGUAGGGAAUCUUCCGCAAUGGGCGAAAGCCUGACGGAGCAACGCCGCGUGAGUGAUGAAGGUCUUCUGAUCGUAAAACUCUGUUAUUAGGGAAGAACAAAUGUGUAAAUAACUAUGCACGUCUUGACGGUACCUAAUCAGAAAGCCACGGCUAACUACGUG